ACCUACUUAACUCAGCGGUU
rnacentral:tRNA from 3 species